rnacentral:lncRNA from 1 species
UAACAAGAGCAAGUUCUGGUAGAAAGAAGGUGACUUUAUUCCAGAGCUCAGGUGUUUGAACUGAUGUCUGAUGAGGAUGAAUCCAGCGACUACCUCUGCCUGUCCAUCCUGGGCCUCUUCUGUUGCCUUCCCCUAGCCAUCCCAGCCGUGAUCUUUUCUUGCCUGACAAAGAACUACAAUAAAUCCAGUGACUAUGAGCUGGCAGCCAAGACCUCCAAACAAGCCUACUACUGGGCCAUCGCGAGCAUCACUGUGGGAAUCUUAGGUACCAUCUUGUACACCUACCUGAUAUACUUACUUAGAUUGUAAACUGCUUCCCAGCUCUUGAACAAACCACCAAAUAUACACCACAGUGCAAUUUA